ACUCCUACGGGAGGCAGCAGUGGGGAAUAUUGCACAAUGGGCGCAAGCCUGAUGCAGCCAUGCCGCGUGUAUGAAGAAGGCCUUCGGGUUGUAAAGUACUUUCAGCAGUGAGGAAGGUGGGGUAUGUUAAUAGCAUAUUCAUUUGACGUUAGCUGCAGAAGAAGCACCGGCUAACUCCGUGCCAGCAGCCGCGGUAAUACGGAGGGUGCAAGCGUUAAUCGGAAUUACUGGGCGUAAAGCGUGCGCAGGCGGUCUGUUAAGCGAGAUGUGAAAGCCCCGGGCUCAACCUGGGAACUGCAUUUUCGAACUGGCAGACUAGAGUCUUGUAGAGGGGGGUAGAAUUCCAGGUGNAGCGGUGAAAUGCGUAGAGAUCUGGAGGAAUACCGGUGGCGAAGGCGGCCCCCUGGACAAAGACUGACGCUCAGGCACGAAA
rnacentral:rRNA from 1 species